UCAUAAUUUUCUCCAAAAAUAUUAUAAAAAAAAAUUGUCCUCCUUCCUUUUAAUCGCAUAAAAACAGCUUUGCUUGUGAUCCAUACAUCUUUAUGUGAAGCAGCUUAAGAAGGAUGUCAUCCGAAGAAGAAAACGUUUAUGAUCCAAUCAAUUCCAUUAAGUUUCAAUCUCAAUCCUUUACAACGAUCAAAACCGUUUGUUCCACCAUUUUCAUCUCUCUCCUCAUCACCUUCUUCGCUUUUUCAAACCAAUUUCAUCGGUCUUCUAUCAUAGUCCUAAAACACAACCACACAGUGGAAAAUACCAUCCACCGAUCUCUCACCCAAAAACCAUCAUCUUCCGAAAAGACAACCAUAUCCCAUAUCUUGUUCGGCAUCGCCGGCUCCACCAAGACGUGGGACGGCCGCAGCCAUUACGCUAAGCUAUGGUGGAAACCUAACAUCACCCGAGGUUUCGUUUGGCUAGACGAGGAACCUUCAGCUAACAAAACAUGGCCGGCUACGUUGCCGGCCUACAAAGUUAACAAAGACACUUCGAUGUUCAACUAUUCAUGCUGGUACGGUUCGCGGUCAGCUAUAAGGUUAACAAGAAUAGUGAAAGAGAGCUUUGAGUUAGGGUUAGAUAACGUAAGGUGGUUCGUGAUGGGGGACGAUGAUACGUUGUUUUUUACGGAGAAUUUAGUUACUGUGUUAGAGAAGUAUGAUCAUAAUCAGAUGUACUAUAUCGGUGCCAAUUCGGAGAGUGUGGAACAGGAUUUGAUUCACUCUUAUGCUGUGGCUUACGGUGGAGGUGGGUUUGCCAUUAGCUAUCCUUUAGCAGCUGAGCUUGUUAGGAUUUUGGAUGGUUGUAUUGAUAGAUAUGCGGAACUCUAUGGCUCUGAUCAGAAAAUCCAAGCUUGUUUAACCUUGAUUGGCGUACCGUUGACUAAGGAACUUGGUUUUCAUCAGCUUGACAUACGCGGAAACCCAUAUGGAAUACUAGCAGCUCACCCACUGGCCCCACUUGUCUCACUCCAUCACUUGGACACUAUCCAAACGCUGUUUCCAGCACUGAGCCAGCACGACUCGCUCAAGAAGCUAAUCAGUGCCUACAACGUGGAUCCGGGUCGGACUGUCCAACACAGUUUCUGUUACGAUUUAAACCGUAAUUGGUCCGUCUCGGUGUCUUGGGGUUACGCCGUGGAGUUGUAUCCGUCGCUUCUGACGGCGAAGAAGCUAGAAACGACGUCGCUCACAUUCCAAACAUGGAAAACCUUAAGCGACGAGCCCUUCACAUAACACCCGAACCGUAAGUCAGGAUCCGUGUGAGAAACCGGUUAUGUUUUAUCUGGAUCGGGUCGACAUUGUUGACGGAGGAAAGACGACGUUGACCACGUAUAAAAGGUUCGUGGACGACUUGGAAAGUGAGUGCGCGCGUGCUGACUACGCUCCUGCGUUGGCGGUUCGGCUUGUCAAUAUCUCAGCCAUCGAAUUCGACCCCAGCCUGUGGCGUAAGGCACCACGUAGACAAUGCUGCGCGCUUACCAACGGUUCUGAUGAUGGGGUUGAAAGGGUGGUCCACCUCCAAAUCAGAAGUUGCAAUCGCUUUGAGAGUGUAACUCCUCCUCAGUAGAUCGUGUGCCAACAAUCCACCUGGAAAAGAAGGGGAGAAAUAAAAGAACACAAAAAAAAAAAAAAAAUGAAAAUUCAAUUUUCGUAAGAAAUUAUGAUUUUAAUUUUCCAAAAAGAAAAUUAUUGUUGUAUUGUUGCAAUGAAAUUAUUUUUGUGCUCCCUCUCUUAAAUUCAGAUAUAAUUGUUAUUUUUAAUAAUAUAAAUCUAUAUAUUAUUUCACGGAA